GUAGGUGAACCUGCGGAAGGAUCAUUGUUGAU
rnacentral:rRNA from 2 species